AGAUGAUAAAGCGCCGCAAGAUAAUGCACUUGAAGAGACAGGUAAUAAAGAGCCGCAAAAUAGUGCAUCUGAAGAGACAGGUGGUUUUGUAGAAUGCUUACAAGGGGUCGGACACGCGGUGAAAACUGGUUAUGUUAAAGUCAAGGAUGUAUUAAGUAAACCAGAC